CCUCCCGCUCUGCGCCGUCGCCCCGCCCACACGCCGCCACCCUCGCGUCAGUUGUCGCUCCGCGCCUGCGCCCGUUGUCUCCCUGCUCGCUCCGGGUCCCGGCGCCGCGCCAUGUGGGCUGCGGCGGGCGGGCUGUGGCGCUCCCGCGCGGGUCUCCGGGCCCUGUUCCGUAGCCGCGAUGCUGCGCUAUUUCCAGGCUGCGAGCGGGGACUUCACUGCUCUGCUGUCUCCUGCAAGAACUGGCUCAAGAAAUUUGCCUCGAAAACCAAGUGGAUGAAGACCUGAUCAUUGAAGUUCACCAGUUAUUUUUCUCAAGAAUGUGAAUAACAAUGGGAUUUGCACUCAUUAUAUUUUUAGAAUGGCUUCGCAUAAUUUUCAUGCAUCCUGUGGACGAUGAACACAAAUGCAGCUGUGGCCGUGCCUGGCCUGUGUGUGUUGAACGCGUUCCUGCCGUGCGGGAGCCACCUACCCAGCGGAGCCUCAGAGUCUGAGUUCUCAAUGAGUCAACAUUUUGGGUGUGUAUGCCAAGAGGUGACACGAAACAGAAGUUGGGAUCACUGUGGUUAACCUGAGCAUGUUGGAGACCAAGGAGAGGCUGAUGUUAAUGUUGGAUUUUUGUGAAAAUGAUUCCUUUCAAAGAAAGACCUGUGACAGUUGAGCGUGUGCUGCAUCUGAGAUGCUGGCUGGGGAGCCCAGGCAGUCGACGGGAGAGGAGCGCUCACUGUCUUACUGGAAACAAGCUGUUUGGAGAACAACCUGUUUUUACUCUCCUUUUGCAAGCAAAACACUCCCACUGAGCAAUAGCGUUUAUGGCAGCAUUUAGCGGACACAGAAGCACAUCUGAAAGUGGAGAGAGACGCGUUUCCCCAUUGCUGGCCGAGUCCCACCACUUUGCUCAGCUAUGAACACCUGACAUCUCGUUUCAUUUUCAUGCAAAAUCUGGAGAUAAUUAUUAUCCACAAUUCUAAGGCCUUAGGCCCCUCCGCAUGAGCCUGCCAUUACCACUUCAUUCCCUUGCACCUGAAAGACUCC
rnacentral:lncRNA from 1 species